rnacentral:lncRNA from 1 species
AAUAAAAAAACCAUAUAAAAGUCCAACAAUUAAGCUUUUGUAAUAGGCUUAUGAAUGUGGGUGGCAAGGGUUCUGCAGCUAUUUAGGGAAUCGGAGAUGACCAAAUAUCAAAUCUACAAUUGGCCGCCGCCUGUUAAUCGCAUUCCGAAUUGGCACCACUAGUGGUGAAUCUUCCCUUAAUGGCAAAUUGAUGUCCAAAUUUCCCAGAUUUUGUAGACGGUGAAUUGAUGCACGUGCUGCCACUGGACUUUUCAUGUGAAAAUAAGUCCUCAGCACUACAACAGAUCUUCUCACUUUUGAUUG